AGCUAUUGUGCCGGGAAUGAAACCCCUGUGAUUCGGAUCAGCUCCUUAAUUGCAAAGAGUCCAUCAAGCCCCAAGAGUCAAUGAAGGUCACCAGGAGUUUAUGUAUAUAAUACUGAUACCAGUUAACUUAAUAUACUACCACUGACACCACCACUUAAUGGUUUAUAUACAGUAUGUACAGCAACUUGUGGUGACCUCUUGGCAAACAGACACUUUAAGUCAGAGGGCAGCAGUAGAAUUGCAGGGCUGUAGGUUCAGUUUAUGCUGGCAGACUUGCAAUUGCUAUCUGAGUUAUUUGAAGUGUGUUUGUUCACCACAACCAGGUAUAUCAAUUGUGUUUUUCGCUUGCUACUUUGGAUUAAAUAAAUAAUUACAAAGCCCGGUGGAAUUGUAAUCAAGACCCAGCGUUUAGACACUCCAGUCUAGUGUCUUCUUUAGGGGUGAUCUAAAGUUGUAAUUGUGGCUUAUUAAAUACCCAAGGGAUGACAUCACCUGCCAAUGAGAUGCAUGUAUUCCUCUGGCAAAUAGGCACCGUCAUCCCUAUUCACAGCAUAAUUACUCAUAUUUAUAUGCCAUGCUUCUAGGCAUAGUCUUUGACCAUGAUAGCGAUUGUUUGUGGUAAUUACUUUAGAUUUUUCCGACACAACCUCGUGUUUGGUGCCACACACAUGUUCUGAUAAAGCUGAUUUUCCCUUGUUUUAAAGUUGAAACAGCCUUUUGAUGUUCUUUUAGCCAUGUACCAAACUAGUGUUAAGACUGACCCAAAUACUCUUUUUCGCAGUCACCGCAUGGUAUAGAAUAUACAGCAUGAGUUUUCUGAUUUGUUUUAACAGGAUCUUUUGGCUUUGCGAAAAUAUGGCCUAAAGUCAAAUACGGUUUUAAGGCAACAUUAAUAUCAUAUUACAUGCAUCUCAUUGGCAGGUGACGUCAUCCCUUGGGUAUUUAAGAAGUGACAAUUGCAACUUUAGAUCACCCCUGAUGAAGACACUAGACUGGAGUGUCAAAACGUUGGGUCUUGAUUACAAUUCAACUGGACUUUGUAAUAAUUUAUUUAAACCAGAGUAGCGAGCGAAACAUGCUCCCAGUUAGUUCUAUGAAACACAUGUUAACUGUACAGUUUCCAUUUGAAAUGUCCAUCUACAAAAACCCAUGAUCAGUCUGCUAUUAUUGCCUUGCUAGAGUAGGCUGUUGAUUGUCUCCUAUAUUUAAUAUUGGCUAUUUGCAACAUCCUGCAAUCCAUCAUAUUAUACACAUGCAGCCAUGAUAUCAUCAAUCAAACUUUGAACUUAGAACUGCAUUCAAAGAAUGUUAUCGAGCGUAAGAAUAUAUCAUUAUAUGCUAAAGCAAAUUGUAUUUCCUGUUACAAUACUGUAUACCUUGUAUAUAGAGGGAUAAUAAAUUAUUUUGACUUCAGGAGGGCUAUUAUAGCAUGCAUGAUUUAAGGAGCAGCAACUCAGCAAGGG